AUUCUCUUGGCAUUACUGUGAGGACACAACAUUUGUGAGCAGGGAAAAAUACACUUUGGACCUAAAGGGUCAUGUGGUAGAGAUCUGGGAAACACUGCUUUUGUACGGAAAGCCACUGUGGUUCUCCUCUUUGCAGCCAGCACAGGGUGCCUGGGAUAAGCAGGCAGACAGGCAUCUGAAGAAAGCAGGAGCAGGUGUGAAAGCAAAUCAUCCAGCAUCUCUCGUUCUUGCCAUUAUUUUGAGUUUCUGCACGGAUUCACACUGUGAUUGGGCCAAUGCACCCCGUCUCAGCUCAGCCCACAGCCCUGGCAGCCCCUUGGGGCAGGGUGGGCCUUCUGCUGGCAGAAGAGAUGAUGAAGGGAGAAUUCAAUGGAGAUCUAUAAAAUCCCGAGCGGCUCUGAGAAAGUAAAUGAGAAUUGAUUGUUUGCUGUCUAAUACAGGAACUAGAAAUCCCAAUUAAAUUAACUGAUGGUAGGUUCAAAGCAACGUAGUGCUCUGCGUGGUGUUCUGCCAUGAGAGGCCGUGGGUGCCAAAAGUUUAUGCGAGUUUGAAGUGGGAUGGAAGAAAAUUUGUAUAUGACUGAGGCAUAGGCAGCACCUAUUAGGGAACUGUGGAGGUGAAUUUACCAGAAGGUGUGAAAGCACUGUGGGGAAAUACCACUAUGCAGCUUACACUCCCUCCUGGGCAUCUGCUAUUAGCUGCUGUUGAACACAGAUACUGGGGGAGAUGAUAGGUAUUUUUUGUAGAUUUCCUAGCAGCUAAAUAAAUGCACAGCUUUUCUUUCACAGCAGCCUGAGCUCACUUCCCUUUCUUCCUUCUGCCCUGGAAUGGUGAGAGCAGCUCCGAGGCAGAGCAAGAGGAUGCCAACCAGCUGUCAGAGGAUGUGUUCGAGCUGUGCACCGAGCUCCUCUGUGGGAGCUGGGGCAGGCAGGAGCAGGAGAGCAACAUCCUCAUGCCUGGGGUGGGAUGGAGGGCUGAGAAGCUUCAGAGAGAUUUCCUGCUGCCAGGACACAGGAAAGGGAGUUAAACAAUUGAAUAGAACAAAAAAUAUAUAUUUAAUAUAUAUUUUUUUCUCAGGCUUCAGCAGAAUGCCCGGGUAGGGUAAAUCAUUAAAGGCAGACGUGUUUCUUGCUUGUGUGCCCUGCUCUGCCUGUGUUAAGAGGCCUUUUUUUUUCUUCUUCUUUUGUUUUUCUUUUCUAUUUGCCACACAGAGAGAAGGAUCUGGGAUGAGAAAACACUCAGCAAACUACAGAAUCAGAUAAGUGCCCUGAGCACAAAAACACAGCAGUGGCUUUGGCCUUGGCAUGUGGCCAGCUUGCCCCUAUUCUGCUUGGGCAGUGAAGCACAGCACAAAGGACAGCUUGAAAAGGAGAGUUCAUUAAGAAGAGCAUGGGGCAGUUCGGUCGCUUUGGUUUUGUGUUGGUCCUCCUCUCUACUGCCACACUUUGGUUCAGGCAGGAAGGGCUGGAGUGCAAGUGCUGCUACUCGGCCACAGCAGCAGCCUGAAAGGAGCGAGAAGAAAUUCAGGGUUUGCGUCCGAAAACAAACGCUACUGGAAAUGAAACAGUCUGUUUCAAAGGCUGCUGAAACAUCUUUUCUUUGGGGGGGGUUGAGGGAGUGUAGCAGAAAUGCUGAGUCACAGCUUGAAGCAGUGAUGGAGCACCUGGUGGGAAGGCAGGGCCAACCCAGGGGAGCUCAGCUGCAUGCAAUGGACCUGAGGGACCAGAAGGGCUGAAGCCAG
ensembl:lncRNA